UACGUAGGGGGCAAGCGUUGUCCGGAUUUAUUGGGCGUAAAGAGCGUGUAGGCGGCCCGGUAAGUCCGCUGUGAAAGUCGGGGGCUCAACCCUCGAAUGCCGGUGGAUACUGUCGGGCUAGAGUGCGGAAGAGGCGAGUGGAAUUCCUGGUGUAGCGGUGAAAUGCGCAGAUAUCAGGAGGAACACCGAUUGCGAAGGCAGCUCGCUGGGACGUCACUGACGCUGAGACGCGAAAGCGUGGGGAGCAAACAGG
rnacentral:rRNA from 1 species